rnacentral:rRNA from 1 species
UACGGAGGGUGCAAGCGUUAAUCGGAAUUACUGGGCGUAAAGCGCACGUAGGUGGUUUGCUAAGACAGCUGUGAAAUCCCCGGGCUCAACCUGGGCACUGCAGUUGGAACUGGCAAGCUAGAGUAGGGUAGAGGGGUGUGGAAUUCCAGGUGUAGCGGUGAAAUGCGUAGAUAUCUGGAGGAACAUCAGUGGCGAAGGCGACACCCUGGACUCAUACUGACACUGAGGUGCGAAAGCGUGGGGAGCAAACAGG